AAGGAUUUUCAAGUCAAUUUCAAAUUGAGCUUGGGUAUAAUUGUCCAAUCACUAAAAAGUACGUCUUUAUUUUAAAAAUAGGUUUUUAUUUAAGAAUACAGGACUUAUAGGAUAAAUGAAUAAUAAUUUUUUUUAAAGGGUAUAAAUAUUUCAGAAACUUAUAACUGCAGCUCCCAAGACUUUCACCCAUCAAUUAGAGUUCAAUUAUUCACAAAACUCACUGUCCUUUUCUCA
rnacentral:lncRNA from 1 species